AAAUUAGUCUCUGAGUUUGUAAGC
rnacentral:miRNA from 1 species